GACGAACCGUGCGAACGUUGUUCGGAAUCACUGGGCUUAAAGGGCGCGUAGGCGGGUCAGCAAGUCCGGGGUGAAAUCUUUCGGCUCAACCGGAAAAGUGCCUUGGAUACUGCUGGUCUUGAGGGAGGUAGGGGUUUGUGGAACUUCUGGUGGAGCGGUGAAAUGCGUUGAUAUCAGAAGGAACGCCGGUGGCGAAAGCGACGAACUGGACCUCUUCUGACGCUGAGGCGCGAAAGCUAGGGGAGCAAACGGG
rnacentral:rRNA from 3 species